GAUUUCUGGUGUGGUGCGCCGAGCCCGCGGCCGUUUAGGUCGUGAGUGCUUGCUGUGCGCCUACCAUCCUUCCGGAGAGCGCUAUCUGCCCUUAACUGGAACGGGUAGUGUCGAUCUGGAUCGUUUACUUUGAAAAAAUUAGAGUGUUUAAAGCAGGCGUUAGCUAUGAAUACAUUAGCAUGGAAUAAUAAUUUAGGACUUCGGUUCUAUUUUGUUGGUUUCUAGGACUGAAGUAAUGAUUGAUAGGGAUAGUUGGGGGUGCUAGUAUUCCGCGGCCAGAGGUGAAAUUCUUGGAUUCGCGGAAGACUAACUACUGCGAAAGCAUU
rnacentral:rRNA from 1 species